rnacentral:misc_RNA from 1 species
GAUGAAGAACGUAGCGAAACGCGAUAUGUAAUGUGAAUUGCAGAAUUCAGUGAAUCAUCGAAUCUUUGAACGCACAUUGCGCCCGCCAGUAUUCUGGCGGGCAUGCCUGUCUGAGCGUCAUUUCAACCCUCAUGCCCCUAGGGCGUGGUGUUGGGGAUCGGCCAAAGCCCGCGAGGGACGGCCGGCCCCUAAAUCUAGUGGCGGACCCGUCGUGGCCUCCUCUGCGAAGUAGUGAUAUUCCGCAUCGGAGAGCGAUGAGCCCCUGCCGUUAAACCCCCAACUUUCCAAGGUUGACCUCAGAUCAGGUAGGAAUACCCGCUGAACUUAAGCAUAUCAAUAAGCGGAGGA